UACGUAGGUGGCAAGCGUUAUCCGGAAUUAUUGGGCGUAAAGAGCUCGUAGGCGGUUUGUCGCGUCGGCCGUGAAAACUUGGGGCUUAACUCCAAGCUUGCGGUCGAUACGGGCAGACUUGAGUUCGGCAGGGGAGACUGGAAUUCCUGGUGUAGCGGUGAAAUGCGCAGAUAUCAGGAGGAACACCGGUGGCGAAGGCGGGUCUCUGGGCCGAUACUGACGCUGAGGAGCGAAAGCGUGGGGGAGCGAACAGG
rnacentral:rRNA from 1 species